rnacentral:rRNA from 1 species
AGCGAACGCUGGCGGCAGGCUUAACACAUGCAAGUCGAGCGGUAAGGCCCUUUCGGGGGUACACGAGCGCGAACGGGUGAGUAACACGUGGGUGACCUGCCCUCAGCUCUGGGAUAAGCCUGGGAAACUGGGUCUAAUACUGGAUAUGACUCCACGGUGCAUGUCGUGGGGUGGAAAGCCUUGUGCGGCUGAGGAUGGGCCCGCGGCCUAUCAGCUUGUUGGGGGGUGAUGGCCUACCAAGGCGACGACGGGUAGCCGGCCUGAGAGGGCGACCGGCCACACUGGGACUGAGACACGGCCCAGACUCCUACGGGAGGCAGCAGUGGGGAAUCUUGCGCAAUGGGCGAAAGCCUGACGCAGCGACGCCGCGUGAGGGAUGACGG